rnacentral:rRNA from 1 species
CGACCGGCGCACGGGUGAGUAACGCGUAUCCAACCUGCCUCUGACUAAGGGAUAACCCGGCGAAAGUCGGACUAAUACCUUAUGAGGUUUUCAGCAGACAUCUAAAGAAAACGAAAGAUUUAUCGGUCAGUGAUGGGGAUGCGUCUGAUUAGCUUGUUGGCGGGGUAACGGCCCACCAAGGCAACGAUCAGUAGGGGUUCUGAGAGGAAGGUCCCCCACAUUGGAACUGAGACACGGUCCAAACUCCUACGGGAGGCAGCAGUGAGGAAUAUUGGUCAAUGGGCGAGAGCCUGAACCAGCCAAGUAGCGUGCAGGAUGACGGCCCUAUGGGUUGUAAACUGCUUUUAUGUGGGGAUAAAGUGAGCUACGUGUAGUUUAUUGCAGGUACCACAUGAAUAAGGACCGGCUAAUUCCGUGCCAGCAGCCGCGGUAAUACGGAAGGUCCAGGCGUUAUCCGGAUUUAUUGGGUUUAAAGGGAGCGUAGGCCGUGGAUUAAGCGUGUUGUGAAAUGUAGACGCUCAACGUCUGAAUUGCAGCGCGAACUGGUUCACUUGAGUAUGCACAACGUAGGCGGAAUUCGUCGUGUAGCGGUGAAAUGCUUAGAUAUGACGAAGAACUCCGAUUGCGAAGGCAGCUUACGGGAGCACAACUGACGCUGAAGCUCGAAGGUGCGGGUAUCAAACAGGGAUUAGAUACCCUGGUAGUCCGCACAGUAAACGAUGGAUGCCCGUUGUUAGCGCCCUGGCGUUAGCGGCUAAGCGAAAGCAUUAAGCAUCCCACCUGGGGGAGUACGCCCGGCAACGGGUGAAACUCAAAGGGAAUUUGACGGGA